UACGUAGGGUGCGAGCGUUAAUCGGAAUUACUGGGCGUAAAGCGUGCGCAGGCGGUUCGUUAAGUCAGAUGUGAAAGCCCCGGGCUCAACCUGGGAACUGCAUUUGAAACUGGCGGGCUUGAGUAUGGCAGAGGGGGGUGGAAUUCCGCGUGUAGCAGUGAAAUGCGUAGAGAUGCGGAGGAACACCGAUGGCGAAGGCAGCCCCCUGGGCCAAAACUGACGCUCAGGCACGAAAGCGUGGGGAGCAAACAGG
rnacentral:rRNA from 1 species